rnacentral:rRNA from 1 species
UACGUAGGGUGCAAGCGUUGUCCGGAAUUAUUGGGCGUAAAGAGCUCGUAGGCGGUCUGUCACGUCGCUGUGAAAACUCGAGGCUCAACCUCGAGACGCCGAUGGAAACCAUCUGACUAGAGUCCGGAAGAGGAGAGUGGAAUUCCUGGUGUAGCGGUGAAAUGCGCAGAUAUCAGGAAGAACACCCGUGGCUAAGGCGGCUCUCUAGUACGUGACUGACGCUGAGACGCGAAAGCGUGGGGAGCGAACAGG